UUUGGUUGCUGACAAAACUCCUGGGAUCGAUAGCGACGUCAAAUAAUUUAUCCAGAAGGUAGAAUCAUCUAAUUAAGCAGUCUAGUCACAAUCGAAAAAAGUAAACGAUCGGCUAUUCUUUAGACUUGAGAAGGUGAGUAGGAUUGAGAUAGGUAGGGAACAAGAAAACGGACCGAAUGGACGGAAUUUUCCGGGAAAAUGGAACAAUCGCGGUCGGAGCGGUGGAUUUUCCCGGGAGAAUAAACCGACCGGAGAGGCAAGCGUGAAAGAAGAGAAAGAGAG
rnacentral:lncRNA from 1 species